rnacentral:rRNA from 1 species
UCACCAAGGCGACGAUCAGUAGCCGACCUGAGAGGGUGAUCGGCCACAUUGGAACUGAGACACGGUCCAAACUCCUACGGGAGGCAGCAGUGGGGAAUAUUGCACAAUGGGGGGAACCCUGAUGCAGCAACGCCGCGUGAACGAAGAAGGCUCUUGGGUCGUAAAGUUCUGUUCUGAGGGAAGAAGAAAGUGACGGUACCUCAGGAGAAAGCCCCGGCUAACUACGUGCCAGCAGCCGCGGUAAUACGUAGGGGGCAAGCGUUGUCCGGAAUUAUUGGGCGUAAAGAGUACGUAGGCGGUCUGGUAAGCGCAAGGUGAAAGGCAUAGGCUCAACCAAUGUCAGCCUUGCGAACUGUCAGACUUGAGUGCAGGAGGGGAAAGUGGAAUUCCUAGUGUAGCGGUGAAAUGCGUAGAUAUUAGGAGGAACACCAGUGGCGAAGGCGACUUUCUGGACUGUAACUGACGCUGAGGUACGAAAGCGUGGGGAGCAAACAGGAUUAGAUACCCUGGUAGUCCACGCCGUAAACGAUGAGCACUAGGUGUCGGGGCCGCAGG